CCGUAGGUGAACCUGCGGAAGGAUCAUUCACAAUAAGCGUUUUAUGGCGCUUUUUAAACAAUCCAUAUCCACCUUGUGUGCAACGUUUGAGUUUUGCUUCUCUUUCCUUUACCGCGAGAGAGGAGUACUGCUUAAAUACAUCAACCUUUUUAAACUAGUUUGUCUGAACAUGUAUCAUGAAUUUUUUACCUAAUUCGAAAAUACAACUUUCAACAACGGAUCUCUUGGCUCUCGCAUCGAUGAAGAACGCAGCGAAAUGCGAUACGUAAUGUGAAUUGCAGAAUUCAGUGAAUCAUCGAAUCUUUGAACGCACAUUGCGCUCUCUGGUAUUCCGGAGAGCAUGCUUGUUUGAGUAUCAGUAAAACACCCUCAGCUCCCCCGCUUCUUAGGAAGAGAGGAGCUGGACUUGAGAGAUCCCAACGGCAGUGAGAACUGCUGGCGGGUCACUUGAAAUGCAGGUGCGGCUGGACACAUCUUCUGAGCUAUAAGCAUUACUUAUUUAGUCCCGUAAAACGGAUUAUAUCUAUUGCUGCAGCUAACAUAUAAAGGUCGAUUGUUCUUGUGCCCGACUGAUGCAGGAAAAUGAAGGCGUCUAAUAGCGUCCUUUGUUCAACUCGAUCUCAAAUCAAGCAAGACUACCCGCUGAACUUAAGCAUAUCAAUAAGCGGAGG
rnacentral:rRNA from 1 species